CAGUAGCCGCGGUAAAACAGAGGGUGCAAGCGUUAAUCGGAAUUACUGGGCGUAAAGCGCGCGUAGGUGGUUUGUUAAGUUGGAUGUGAAAUCCCCGGGCUCAACCUGGGAACUGCAUCCAAAACUGGCAAGCUAGAGUAUGGUAGAGGGUGGUGGAAUUUCCUGUGUAGCGGUGAAAUGCGUAGAUAUAGGAAGGAACACCAGUGGCGAAGGCGACCACCUGGACUGAUACUGACACUGAGGUGCGAAAGCGUGGGGAGCAAACAGGAUUAGAUACCCGGGUAGUCCCUGUCUCUUAUAC
rnacentral:rRNA from 1 species